rnacentral:piRNA from 1 species
UGAGAGAUCCUCUGACCUAAGACUCCUAA